rnacentral:rRNA from 1 species
GACAGCAGUAGCCACGGUAACACGGAGGGUGCAAGCGUUAAUCGGAAUUACUGGGCGUAAAGCGCACGCAGGCGGUCUGACAAGUCAGAUGUGAAAUCCCCGGGCUUAACCUGGGAACUGCAUUUGAAACUGUCAGGCUGGAGUCUUGUAGAGGGGGGUGGAAUUCCAGGUGUAGCGGUGAAAUGCGUAGAGAUCUGGAGGAAUACCGGUGGCGAAGGCGGCCCCCUGGACAAAGACUGACGCUCAGGUGCGAAAGCGUGGGGAGCAAACAGGAUUAGAUACCCGCGUAGUCCCUGUCUCUUAUAC